GAGCCCGGAGGUCAACAUCCGACAGCGCGAUGCGCCCUCGGGUGUCGAACUG
rnacentral:sRNA from 2 species